rnacentral:sRNA from 1 species
CUUCAAUUGAAAUUAUGGACAACAGC